CCUACGGGUGGCAGCAGUGGGGAAUAUUGCACAAUGGGGGAAACCCUGAUGCAGCGACGCCGCGUGAGUGAAGAAGUAUUUCGGUACGUAAAGCCCUAUCAGCAGGGAAGAAAAAAAGUCCUUUGGACUUUGGACGGUACCUGACUAAGACGCCCCGGCUAACUACGUGCCAGCCGCCGCGGUAAUACGUAGGGGACAAGCGUUAUCCGGAUUUACUGGGUGUAAAGGUAGCGUAGACGGGACUGCAAGUCUGGAGUCAAAUGCCGGGGCCCAACCCCGGAACGGCUUUGGAAACUGUGCAGCUGGAGUGCAGGAGAGGUAAGCGGAAUUCCUAGUGUAGCGGUGAAAUGCGUAGAUAUUAGGAGGAACACCAGUGGCGAAGGCGGCUUACCGGACUGUAACUGACGUUGAGGCACGAAAGCGUGGGGAGCAAACAGGAUUAGAUACCCGAGUAGUC
rnacentral:rRNA from 1 species